UGAAACCAACUCAGGAGUUUUAGUUCAUUUGCCAUGUAGCAGGAAGCACCCCGAUUAGUGAUCGGAAUGCAAUGUCUCGGCAGGUAAUGCCUCACAACCAACUGGCACGUUAAAAAGAAUGAGCAUUUGGGAAUCAGAGUAGUUCUCCAGCCUACUUUUGAGCUGAUAGAAUUUCGGUCUCUCUCUUCACUCAACAGUGUGUGGGCCCUUCUGUCAUCAAGCAAGAGACUGGCAGUCCCAGGCACUGCUGUCUCCAGGUGGCGUGAAGUAGGUCUCCUUCGCCAGAGGGGCAAGCUCGUGUUUAAAUCCACUGACGAUAUCAUCCUUGUCACAUCUGGCAGCAUUUGGGAACUUCGCCAUGGAUGGAUGUUUCGGGGAAACUCGGCAGGGAUCCUGCAGUUGAAGUGAAAAUUCGUGUGUGUCCAAGCCAACACCCCGUGUCUGUUAACCCUACACAGCAGAGACAGUAAAGGUUGCGAGUGCUCAUGAUUUCUCGGGUAAAUGGGAAAAGAGUAGGCUUGUGGCACUGAAGGGGAACCUAAUCUGCAGGACUGCUGGGGGCUUGGCAAAAUUUAACUCAACCACUGUCUGCAAAAUGCCAGCAAUGGGACCGACCAGGACAGAGCCGGUCAAGCCGAUCCAUUGCAGGGGCUUUAUCUUCGGGAAACUUCCGACCCGAACGGAGGAACCCUGGACCCUCCUGGCAUCCAUGCACCCUGUACUUGAGAGUCACCCUUGCUGAAGGCAUCGGUCGGCCACAGUCGGAAGGACACGCUUCUCCCUGCCUUCGGGACUUACUUCACUUUUACUGAGGCUGCUGUUCCGUGUCAAGAGGAAGGAUGUCAUUCUACGUAACUCCUGUGGACUAAGGAAGAAGUCCUGUAUAGACAUUUCUGACAGCACGGUGCAAGGGACACAACAACCCAGUGACACACUGCAGCAACGGAGCAAACACUCCAUGUCACCUGGGUCUUCCCGAGGGCGCCUCUCUGCUCCCCACUGCUGCCACAUAGGCGUCCUCUCCAGCCCCGUGGAGGUGGCCUUUUGUUCCCCAAGAGCCACAGAACUGCUAUUGGCUAAAUCACAGGGUGCUGAAGGCUGUGAUCGAAAUCUGGGAGACGGCAUUCAAUGUCACCUUUGAUGGUCUAAAGUCACACACAGAUAGGCUGGAGCUCCUCUGUGGCAGAGAGCACACAGAGGCUCAUUUUGGGAUUGGGCACUCACGGGGUCCCUCUGAGAAGGACGUUUGGCCCCGCAGAGCGGUGUUCUCGGGGAGGCUGUGACCUGCCGCCCUCACACAAUUGGAUCUCUUGUUUGAUAGAGAGUCCGAAGCUCCUCACCAUUAAACUGAGAAUAGCAGUGUGUUUUUUUCCUUUUCUGCUUUAGCACAUUCCAGGGACCAGGGGCCGUGCUUCCUGACUGUAACUGGGACAAGACCUUAUGGAAAUGUCCUGAGAGUCAGGCUGCGCUGGGCGGAGUUUGCAGGUACCUCUAAGUGAGGCCUGGACUUGGAGCAAGUGCAUGGAGGGUCUCCUGACGUCUGGUGGCUGUAACACAAACAUCUCCUUUUCACAGACCUUCCCCUGCAAUCACCCUGUAGCUAACUAGCCCUCCACCGAGGUGGCUGGUGGGCUCUCUUUGCAAUGACUCUGCAGCCUGUGGCCCCCGUGCCUCUGGGAGGGGAGAAGAGGCAGCAGCCAGGCGGCCCCCUCUACGGAUCACAGGGCUGUGCACCCUCAGGAACAACCGGCCUGAACCCUCCCUACAGGUCUCAUCCACGGGAGUGCCUGCUUCAUAAAGCGUGGUGAUUUUCUCCAAGUUUUCCCUAGGACCAACAGACAAACGCAUUUAGAAAAAGGGAAUGAGAACAAGUUAACCUGCAAAGAGGUGAAGGGAAUCAGACUUCAAAAGGAGGAACCCUCCUAGUAAAGAGCUGAAUAAAGGAAGAAAACCACAGGAUUACAAGUCGGGCAAAUUCGUGUCCUUUUGCUCACGGUGGAAAACAGGAACUUUUUCACGGGAUCAUCGUAUCCACAUGCACUGGAAUUGGGCAAGUCAGGCCGAAACCUCUACAGGGUGGGCGAAAGUAGGUUCACAGCUGUGACUACACAAAACACAGAGUUUAUUCUUGUAUUAUAUGUUUUUCCAUACAGACAACUGUAAGCCCACUUUUGCCCACCCCUGUAUUUUGUUCACAGAGCUCAGGUUUGUAGGAAUUGCUCAGGCUUUUAUUAUCUCAUGGACCAGACAUAGACAGAGUGACCCUGUUAUUUUUGGUUUAUCUCAAGGUUCAAAUUCUUUUUUGUUUGUUUGUUUGUUUCCUGACUGUGGCCUGCCCUAUCCGUAAUCACAAUGGAAGGAGAACGAAGUAUUUCUUUGCUUCCCAACUCCUUCCUUUGUCCAAGUUCCUGCCCCUCAGGUGUGGAUUCGGUUAUACAAGAUGCUCAGUAAGUUUCUGAUUCAGUAUCAUUAGCAUGAUGGUUUAUUUUAUUGGUGAGUUUAAUUUUCACAGGAAUAGCAGACAUUUAAUAUGCAAAGGUCCUUUCGUACUUUCCAAAAAAAAAAACAAACUAGAGCAAUGUGAUAUUGAGCCUUAAGAGUUCCCUCUAUCUGGAGGCCUUGUAAAGGCCCUAACAGAAUAAAUUUAGCAUUUCACAUGUAUUUUAUUAUCCUUGUCAGCUUGUCCAUUGAGGUCAUGAACCAAGAACAAUCACAGUCACUUCUGCCAGGCUUCCCUGCAGUAGCUUUGACUGUUGGGUGUGUGUAUUAUUCUGGGCUUUUCAGAGAAACAGAACCAAUAAGAGAUUGAGAGAAAAAUAGAUACAUAGAUAAUAGAUAAACGAUGGUAGAUUAGAGAAUAGAUAGAUGGUGGAUUAGACAGAAGGAUACUAGGUAGAUGAUAGAUUAAAUAGGAGGUAUAUAGAUGAUAAGAUAGGUAGAUGAUAAGGAAUUGGAUCCCAGGACGGGUGGGGGGGGGGAGUGGGGGGUGGGCAGUGCGGUGUCCCAUGAUCUGCAAGGUCAGGAGUGGAGAAAGCUACUUCUGAGAGCCAGGAGCAAUGAUGCUGCAAGUUUCCCUCUGCGGGCAGGAGACAGCUAUCCCAGCCCAGGCAGAUGGAGGGAGGGGAGGGAAAACCCUGGCCCUCAGCAAGUUGGAGGAGACCCACCCACCCGGGACAGAGGCAGUCUAAUCUCACCUGGGAACACCCUCACAGACACACCCAGAGAUGAUGUUCACCAAGAACACCAGCAGCCCAGGACCCAGACGUGGAAAGGACCAUCACAGUGUAUCAGGGUCUCCUCGGUCCCAGAUGAGGCCUUGUCUGUCACAGUUCCAGGCCCGCCUUCGAGGUGGGGUUCCAUGACCUCUGAGCAGUGAGAUCCGGCCUGUGUGUGGGAAGAUACCAAAGGCCUCGUUCCCUGCACCAAGGCGUGGUCCCGGGCUGUCUCACCUAAUCAGACGGGAUUUCUGGCAUGAUCCUGGCAGAGAUUUGAUUUGAUUUGUCCAACUGUAUGCUGGUUGGAAAAGAAGGCUUUCUUGUUGAACCUAUGGAAACCACGCCACGGUGACACAGUGUGGGAGUCAGUGAAGGCACUGUGAGUCAUGUGUAGCCAUUGUUGUCAUUUUAAAAAGUAUUUUUUACAGAAUCAUUAUUCAUAAGUAUUCCCUCCUGAUUUAUUCAUUUAGAAUGUAUGAUAAGAUCUUUUAUAGGAUUCCACCUCCACCCCAGAACCUGAGGGUAUGGUUGGAACAAGGUACCAUGGAAAGAGUGUUUCCUACCAGCAUAACAGUGUGAGCUGUUAAAUCAGGGGUCAGAUUUAUACACGAGCCAUGGACAAGGAAAAUAUUAUAGGGAUUGACAGAGAGGAGAGGGUGGGGCUGGGCAGAGGUGGGGAAGUGAGAAAAGGUGGGAUCAACUGCAGUAGCAUAAGUAAUAGAAAAAUUAAACAUUUAAAUAAAUUUAAAAAAAUUGAGGAUCAGAGUUCAAUUAAGAAGAAAGAAAUGUUUUCCUCACGUGUGCAUGUACAAAUAGUACACUGGCCAUGAUUAAAUCAGUUCAUUCUGUUCAUUUAGUUCUAGGGAGUUCAUUUGAGUUUUGCUGAUCUCAGACUAAAUAGUUUAUUCCCAUGAAGUCAUUUGCUUUUGGAGAGGGGAGUUCUGGGAAUCCUGAUUCGGUUGCCUGAUAGUCUCUCAGAGAAGGGUGACGGUGUCAUCUUAUAAUGGGGAGCUUGUGCCCCUGAGUCUAGGCUACUCCUUGCAGUUUCAACUGCUCUCUGCCCCAGUGCUUUGCUGAAGCUCUUCUGAUUUUUUUUAUUUUCCAGAAGACUCAAUUUCUGAUCUGUUCUUAUAGCAGGGACCUUCAGGUGAGCGUGCACAAAAAGUGGAAGACGCCGGUGGAGAACAAGACUCAAGGGUCUGGUUUAUCUGCUGUGAUAACCACUGAUAGAAGGAUGCAGGAACGUUGCACCCUCUAUUACGGGACAAUAAGUAAAUGAUUUAUAAAGAUGUAGUUAUUGCUUAUCCUGAGGGUAAGAACAGCUUAUAAACAGUGAGGACUUUUUCAAAUCUCCAGGGUCUUUAAAUUUACCCCUCAAAGGGUUUUCUGGGUGUCAUCAAUUGACAAGAGUAUUUAUAUAGAAAAUAGAGGUGUAUUUUAAAAAUUAAUCUACAGGAUCUGGCACAAAUAAUGCCCCUCUUUGUUCCAAAAUCAUUUAUUACAAAAUCAUAAGCAUGUAAUUCUGUAACAUAAUAGUAUAACACUCAAGCACACCACAUUGAUGAGGGACUUGAAAGUGGGAACAUUUUAGUUUAAGUAACAGCUAAUAAGCUCAGUAAUGCACGUAAAAGCCAUUGUUCCAGGGACUGAAGGUGUGACCCACCCUGACUUCAGGAGACCUUAAACAGUCCCACCAUUGUGCCUCUGGCAGACUGCAAGGAAUCUGAGAUUGUAUCUGAGCCACUGUGCUCCAGGACAAGAACCCUGCAGUUUUUUUAUCCAAUUAACUUCUCACUGAAUUCCAAACCCCUUACCUAUACUUUGUUCUCUCUAUAAAAAAGCCAUUUUAAAAUAGAAUGUAAGAUGGUCUGUUAGGGUACAAACCUGCUGUCUUUUCAGAUCGCCGGCCAUUUGAAUAAAGUGCCCAUAAAGAUUCA